GAUUAACGGCUCACCAAGGCGACGAUGGGUAGGGGUUCUGAGAGGAAGGUCCCCCACACUGGUACUGAGACACGGACCAGACUCCUACGGGAGGCAGCAGUAAGGAAUAUUGGGCAAUGGUCGGAAGACUGACCCAGCCAUGCCGCGUGCAGGAAGAAGGCCCUAUGGGUUGUAAACUGCUUUAGCCAGGGGCUAAACCUACCGAUGCGUUGGUAGCUGAAGGUACCUGGAGAAUAAGCAUCGGCUAACUCCGUGCCAGCAGCCGCGGUAAUACGGAGGAUGCGAGCGUUAUCCGGAUUUACUGGGUUUAAAGGGUGCGCAGGCGGUUGUUUAAGUCAGGGGUGAAAGCCCUAUGCUCAACAUAGGGAUUGCCUUUGAUACUGAACGGCUAGAGUGAAGAUGGAGUGGGUGGAAUGUGUUGUGUAGCGGUGAAAUGCAUAGAUAUAACACAGAACACCGAUCGCGAAGGCAGCUCACUAAUUUUCAACUGACGCUCAUGCACGAAAGCGUGGGGAUCAAACAGGAUUAGAUACCCUGGUAGUCCACGCUGUAAACGAUGAUCACUAGCUGUUGGUACGCUGAAGUAUCAGUGGCUAAGCGAAAGUGAUAAGUGAUCCACCUGGGGAGUACGACCGCAAGGUUGAAACUCAAAGGAAUUGACGGGGGCCCGCACAAGCGGAGGAGCAUGUGGUUUAAUUCGAUGAUACGCGAGGAACCUUACCAGGGCUCGAACGCAGGGGGGAUAUACCUGAAAGGGUAUAGCCAGCGAUGGUCGCCUGCAAGGUGCUGCAUGGUUGUCGUCAGCUCGUGCCGUGAGGUGUCAGGUUAAGUCCUAUAACGAGCGCAAUCCCUAUCCAUAGUUGCCAGCGGGUAAAGCCGGGGACUCUAUGGGAACUGCCUGCCCAAGCAGAAAGGAAGGAGGGGAUGACGUCAAAUCAGCACGGCCCUUAUGUCCUGGGCUACACACGUGCUACAAUGGUCGGUACGUAGGGCAGCGACCACGUGAGUGGGAGCCAAUCCUUAAAAGCCAAUCUCAAUUCGGGAUUGGAGUCUGCAACCCGACUCCGUGAAGUUGGAUUC
rnacentral:rRNA from 1 species